UGGGGUGGUUACUGCCAACAUGCAACACAGUGCAUUUGUCUACGUUUAAUGUGAUUAGCCAAUCUCGGGUCCAAGCAAUUACUCUAUCAAGAUCAUCUUGGAUUAUAUUAUGGCUAAUAAGUGGAUUCCCCGUUAUUUUCGUGUCAUCUGCAAAGAGUGAUAUAUCAGACAUGAUACCAUGUUUAAGAUAUGUAAGGUAGAUACUGAAUAAAAUAGAGAAUGUGCGAUUUGACAGGAAGUCUUCAAUCCACUUCACGACAUUGCCUCUGAUUCCAAAGGGCUCUAAUUUAGCAAUCAAUCGUGUGACA